CGCGCGCGCCCUCGCCGCGGCCCCUCAGCGCUCAGGUAUUUUCAAAAGAUGAGGUGCUGUGCGCUUUCACAACAGACUGAAUCCAGAAGCAGUUAUGAGACUCAAUCUGCCUUUAUUAUAUCACGAAUUUAAAAAGUGCCAAAAUGUAAAGUAUGCCCUCAGGAAACCUGUAAUUCCUUAACCCCACAACCACCUUUAAAGUGCAAGACUGGGAUGAAUUGAACCAUGAAACCUUUCCAAACCAGUCUUGUGAAAGCCUCAGACUUACAUGGAACAGUCUGAGUUGUGGGGCAGGCAUUGGACAUAGCAGUUCAGAUGGCACUUGGUGUACCGGAAGCUUGGAACAGAGCGCCUGAAUUCAAGUCUCAUCUCCACUUCUCCUCCUUAAUCCACCCUCCUGAGAAUAUUCUCAAGACUGAGAGGCAGAAGGUACAGUCUGCAAUCAUCAGUUCCCUGCCACCCAAGUGGGACACCUGGAUUCAGUUCUUGCCCAGCCUGACUUCUGCUCCAGCCCUGGAUGUUUCCAGGCAUUUGGGAAUUGAAUCAAUGGAUAGAAGAUUUCUGUAUGUUGGUAUGUCAUUCAAUAAUAAAUAAAAAUU